rnacentral:miRNA from 1 species
UCUUUCUCCGGAUUAGGCUGAUUAUACUGAUUAUGCUGAUUAAAUUUCCAUUAAUAAAAAAUCAGGAUAAUCAGUAUAAUCAGCCUAAUCGGGA